rnacentral:rRNA from 1 species
UGCAGUCGAACGGUAACAGGAAUUAGCUUGCUAAUUUGCUGACGAGUGGCGCACGGGUGCGUAACGCGUAUACAAUCUGCCUUUUGCUGAGGAAUAGCCCAGAGAAAUUUGGAUUAAUACCUCAUAGUAUUAUUAGAUGGCAUCAUUUUAUAAUUAAAGGUUACGGCAAAAGAUGAGUAUGCGUCCCAUUAGUUAGUUGGUGAGGUAACGGCUCACCAAGGCAGCAAUGGGUAGGGGUCCUGAGAGGGAGAUCCCCCACACUGGUACUGAGACACGGACCAGACUCCUACGGGAGGCAGCAGUGAGGAAUAUUGGACAAUGGUCGAAAGACUGAUCCAGCCAUGCCGCGUGCAGGAAGACUGCCCUAUGGGUUGUAAACUGCUUUUAUACAGGAAGAAUAAGCCCUACGUGUAGGGUGAUGACGGUACUGUAAGAAUAAGGACCGGCUAACUCCGUGCCAGCAGCCGCGGUAAUACGGAGGAUCCAAGCGUUAUCCGGAUUCAUUGGGUUUAAAGGGUCCGUAGGCGGGUCUUUAAGUCAGUGGUGAAAGCCGACAGCUCAACUGUCGAACUGCCAUUGGUACUGGAGACCUUGAGUACAAAUGAAGUAGGCGGAAUGAGUCAUGUAGCGGUGAAAUGCAUAGAUAUGACUCAGAACACCGAUUGCGAAGGCAGCUUACUAACAUGUAACUGACGCUGAGGGACGAAAGCGUGGGGAGCGAACAGGAUUAGAUACCCUGGUAGA